GUCUUUCCUUUGCCUUCUGCCUGCCAAUGCAGGUUAUGAAAGAGAGUUCAGAUGUCAGGAGUUGGUGUUGCUUUGUCUCUAAUGAAUUUGGGGAUCUUUCCUUGUCAUUGUCUUGUCCCUUGAAAGAGUGAAUUCUUCAAGCAUUAAUAGCAGUUUAAAAAAAAAAAAAAAAAAAAAAAAAGCUAUUAAGAGGAAAAAGAGCAGAAAGAGCAGUCAAGUUUCUUCAAUGUGGAUGAAUCCAUGGUCUUAUGUAAGAGUGAGGUGACAACUCUUACCAAUUACAGCUACUUUCCAGGUACAUAAGAAGAGCAUCUUUGCCAUGACUGCACAGGCGAAGGAUAGGGGCUGUCUUAAUGACAAGAUUUUCCCUUAAGAAAUUCUCACCUAAAAUGAUUAUCCUUCACGGUCAGAAUUUUACAGAUCUGUAAUUGUAAAGGGAUUAUGAAUUCCUUUCCUCCCCUACUUUUCUCCCCCAUUUUCAUGCUGACUGCCUUUUUUACUUUCUAGACUGGGGAUUGCCCACCUGGCUGUAACUGCCCUCCAGGGACUGGAUUCCCUUUCUCCUUCCCCUGUGCACCAGGCUUCUUCUGGGAUAAUUCCAGUGCAGAGGGUGAAGACAGAUGCAAACCAUGUCCAGCUGGCUCCUACUGUGACCCUCCUGCCAUGUCAGAGCCCAAAGCUUGCCCAGCAGGCUUUCACUGUGGCGAAGGCAGCUCUAAACCUGAGCCCUGCCCAGAGGGCACCUACAGUAACAAGAAGGGGCUGUCUGGGCCAGCAGAGUGCAGCCCGUGUGGCCGUGGUUUCUACUGUGCUGCUCCAGGACAGACUGGGCUAAACGGUCCCUGCCAGGCUGGGUUCUUCUGCCAGGGCAGGGCUCUGACUCCAUUGCCCACAGAUGGCGUGACAGGGAACAUGUGUCCCCCUGGGGCAUACUGCCCACCUGUGUCCCCCUUACCUAUCCCUUGUCCUCCAGGAACCUACAGCAACAGGAGUGGGUUGAGAAACCUCCGUCAGUGCUUGGACUGCCCACCCGGGUGAGUGUGGUAUUUGCUGAACACGGCUCAGUUCUGUCCCAUUGCAAAGGGAUUAUUUAACCCUCAAAUUUCCUUCCACAGCAGCCCAUCCUUACCUUCAGCCCUUUUGUAGAGGAGUCUCCUCUGGUCCCAGGGCUCCAGUACAAAUGUUCUUGCAUUUUCCAUUGCUAUAUGCCUGUAUCAGUAGAUUUGAAACAGGGAACUUGAACUGUGUGAGCUGUAUCUCAGCUUUUACUGUUCCCUAGCAUCUGUCAAGACUCAUUAUGUCUGUAGUGCUGGAUGGCUUGACCUAGCAGCUCUUGCUUAAACAUUCUUGUUAAUACUAAUUGGGUAGUCCUUUUUAUAUUACCAGAUUGUGUUGCAUCCCUUUUAAUGAUGCCAGAGUUACACAUCUGAGUCUGAAGAAAAAGGUAGGGAUCUAGCGUAGGCUUUCACCUCUCCAUGAGUGUGCACUGAAUAAGUGCAGGUUGUUAAGGCUAGUGAUGGACAGUCUGCCUUUCAGGUGGUUAUGUCUUCAUGCUGCAGUGACAAAUGGAGCAUGAAAGAUCAUCACAGGAUUGGUGGCACAAAGUCUGUGAUUUCUGUGGUUCACUGUGAAAGAGGAUGCUAUUUGGGAUGGAGUUGUAUGUCUCUGUGGGAAAGAACCUGAUUUUUUUUUUUUUCACUCCCUGAUUUCCCUGGAGAGGUAGGCAGAAAAACAGAGC
rnacentral:lncRNA from 1 species